GCCGACAUCUUCUCUGCUCCUGUCGCUGUCCCCUGACAGACCACGCGCCGAAAUGUUGUGUCCACAGGCUGAUUGACGACGCCAAGCUAGCUCACUAGCUAAGGCCUUCAGUAACGUCAGGUUGCUUUGCCGAGGCUUGCCGCUAGCCUCUCGGACAACCCGUUCCCUCCACCGAACGAUAUGAGGAAGCGCUGAAACCACUGACUUCAACAGUCACUGACGUCACUGCUCAACACAGAACUAGCCGGGGCCAGAGCCACGCUACCGCUCUGGAUGGGGCCUACACAGUGGUUAAUAACAUCAACACACGAAAGAAAUAUGGAGGCCUACAGCUAUUUGAUUACUUAUGUGAAUAUGAAUGUUUAUGUUUGUAGCUCUUAACAAACGCGUUUGUUCUGUGACAUCAAUAAACAUUGCAUUAACAUUA